UACGAAGGGAGCUAGCGUUGUUCGGAAUCACUGGGCGUAAAGCGCACGUAGGCGGAUGUGUCAGUCAGGGGUGAAAUCCCGGAGCUCAACUUCGGAACUGCCUUUGAUACAGCACGUCUUGAGUCCGGAAGAGGAGAGUGGAAUUCCCGGUGUAGCGGUGAAAUGCGCAGAUAUCGGGAAGAACACCCGUGGCGAAGGCGGCUCUCUGGGACGGUACUGACGCUGAGACGCGAAAGCGUGGGGAGCGAACAGG
rnacentral:rRNA from 1 species